GGAGGAAUGCUUUGUGAAAUUGAUGUGAAAAUUACGACAGCCAAAGUGGCUUGGGAGGGUAUGUUGUUAAGAUUCUUGGAAUUGGAAAUGGAUUUCCUUUGCAGUUG